UAUAUAAUAUUUUAUAUGUAAAACAUAAUUUUAUAAUAGUAUUCAUUGAUUUAAAUUUUAAUUGAAUCAAAGUUUAGUUAAAAUUCUAAAAUAUGAUUCUUUGAUAGUGGUAUGAACAGUUAAGUCACAAAAUGACAGAAGGGUGGACUUGAUUUUAUUAAAUGAAAUAGUCUAUACAUAAUUGUUAUUGUAUACCUUAUAUUUAUUGUAAAAUAUAUAUAAUAAUUUAGUAAUAAUGGGUAAACAAAAUGGGUCAUGUUGGUGGUGUGUUAAAGCAUUUAAAUGGGUACCAGUUAUUUUUAUUCUUACAAUUGUGUUCUGGUCUUAUUAUGCGUAUGUAGUACAGUUGUGUUAUUAUACUAUUGAUAGUUACAUUCAAAAGACUUUAUACCUGAUAUUUUUUCAUAUAUUCAUCGCGAUGUUUUUGUGGUCUUAUUGGAAAACUGUCUUUACAGAUCUAAUUUCUGUUCCUGAAGUGUUUAAAGUCCCUCUGUCAGAAGUUGAGAAGCUACAACAAGCACAAAGUGAAGAAGCGCAAUGUGCAAUACUCGAAAGACUCGGACAAAACUUACCCGUUUCUAAUCGAACAAUUAGAGGAGCGAUUCGCUUUUGCGACAAGUGCCAGUUAAUAAAACCUGAUCGUGCUCAUCAUUGCAGCGUAUGCCGCGCAUGUGUAUUAAAAAUGGAUCAUCAUUGUCCUUGGGUCAACAAUUGCGUAGCCUACCACAAUUAUAAAUUUUUCAUAUUAUUUUUGGGGUAUGCGUUAAUUUAUUGUGUAUUUAUUGCCAGUACGACGUUGCAAUAUUUUAUACACUUUUGGAAGGGUGAAUUAGAUGGUAUGGGAAAGUUCCACAUAUUAUUUUUGUUUUUCAUCGCUCUUAUGUUUGCAGUCAGUCUGAAUUCUUUGUUUUUUUACCAUUGUUACCUCAUUUUACAUAAUCGAUCAACAUUAGAAGCAUUUAGACCACCCAUGUUCCGAAUGGGCAAAGAUAAAGAUGGAUUUAAUAUUGGAAAAUAUAACAACUUCCAAGAAGUGUUUGGUGAAAACAAAAAACUUUGGUUUCUUCCUAUUUUUACAAGUCUUGGAAAUGGAGUGGUCUAUCCAGUACGCGCGCAACAUCAAGGUCCGAGUACAUACAACUCAAUGGGAAAUACACAAAACAGGUGUGCCCUUGAGAUGAAUUUGAUAGAAGGAGGAACUAUUAUUGCACUUGGUGCUGGAUAACCACUUUUUGUUACCGUUACUAUAUUAAUACAAUAAAAUAAAAUCAAGUAUAACAAAGCACUGCUGUUGUAGGACCUCUUGUGGAAGCCAGUGAACCUUUGGUGAAUUCAGUUGAAAUACUCUGAUAUUUAUUUCAAAUAAACAGUCACGAAAACAUUAAAUUUUAUUUUCAAAA
rnacentral:misc_RNA from 1 species